AUUGAACGCUGGCGGCAGGCCUAACACAUGCAAGUCGAGCGGAAGAACUGAGCUUGCUCGUGGUUUCAGAGGGGGACGGGGGAGUGAUGCAUAGGAAUGUGCCUGGCUGCGGUUGAGAACGUGCGGAAGAAGGCGCUAAUACUGCAUACGUGCUGAGGGGGUAGGAGGGGAAUCUGGGGAGCUUACGCGUUUGGGUGAGGCUAGGUCGGAUUAGCUAGUUGGUGGGGUAAAGGCCUAACAAGGCGACGAUCCGUAACUGGUCUGAGAGGAUGAUCAGUCACACUGGAACUGAGACACGGUCCAGACUCCUACGGGAGGCAGCAGUGGGGAAUAUUGGACAAUGGGCGAAAGCCUGAUCCAGCCAUGCCGCGUGUGUGAAGAAGGUCUUCGGAGUGUAAAGCACUUUACGUUGGGAGGAAAAGCAGUAAGUUAAUACCUUGCUGUCUUGACGUGACCAAUAGAAUAAGCACCGGCGAACUUCGUG
rnacentral:rRNA from 1 species